rnacentral:rRNA from 1 species
UGCCAGCCGCCGCGGUAAUACGGAGGGGGUUAGCGUUGUUCGGAAUUACUGGGCGUAAAGCGCGCGUAGGUGGUUUGUCAAGUGGGAUGUGAAAGCCCAGGGCUCAACCUUGGAACUGCAUUCCAAACUGACGAACUAGAGUACGAUAGAGGGGGGUAGAAUUCAGAGUGUAGCGGUGAAAUGCGUAGAUAUUCUGAGGAAUACCAGUGGCGAAGGCGGCCCCCUGGAUUGAUACUGACACUGAGGUGCGAAAGCGUGGGGAGCAAACAGGAUUAGAUA